UACGAAGGGGGCUAGCGUUGCUCGGAAUCACUGGGCGUAAAGGGUGCGUAGGCGGGUCUUUAAGUCGGGGGUGAAAGCCCAGAGCUCAACUCUGGAACUGCCUUCGAAACUAGAGGACUUGGGUACAGGAGAGGUGAGUGGAAUUCCGAGUGUAGAGGCGAAAUUCGUAGAUAUUCGGAAGAACACCAGUGGCGAAGGCGGCUCACUGGCCCGUUACCGACGCUCAGGCGCGACAGCGUGGGGAGCAAACAGG
rnacentral:rRNA from 1 species